rnacentral:rRNA from 1 species
AACGGCGGCCGUAACAAUAACGGUCCUAAGGUAGCGAAAUUCCUUGUCGGGUAAGUUCCGACCUGCACGAAUGGAGUAACGAUUUCCCCGCUGUCUCAAACGUGGACUCAGCGAAAUUGAAUUGUCUGUGAAGAUGCAGACUUCCCGCGGUUAGACGGAAAGACCCCAUGCACCUUUACUAUAGCUUCGCACUGGCAUCAGGAUUGCGAUGUGCAGGAUAGGCGGUAGACUUUGAAGCCGGGACGCCAGUUCCGGUGGAGUCAUCCUUGAGAUACCGCCCUUCGCACUCUUGAUGUCUAACCGCGGCCCGUUAUCCGGGUCCGGGACCCUGCGUGGUGGGUAGUUUGACUGGGGCGGUCGCCUCCCAAAGAGUAACGGAGGCGCGCGAAGGUUGGCUCAGAGCGGUCGGAAAUCGCUCGUUGAGUGCAAUGGCAGAAGCCAGCCUGACUGCAAGACUGACACGUCGAGCAGAGUCGAAAGACGGCCAUAGUGAUCCGGUGGUCCCGAGUGGAAGGGCCAUCGCUCAACGGAUAAAAGGUACGCUGGGGAUAACAGGCUGAUGAUGCCCAAGAGUCCAUAUCGACGGCAUCGUUUGGCACCUCGAUGUCGGCUCAUCUCAUCCUGGGGCUGGAGCAGGUCCCAAGGGUAUGGCUGUUCGCCAUUUAAAGAGGUACGCGAGCUGGGUUUAAAACGUCGUGAGACAGUUUGGUCCCUAUCUGCCGUGGGUGUAGGAUACUUGAGAGGAGUUGCCCCUAGUACGAGAGGACCGGGGUGAACGUUCCACUGGUGGACCAGUUGUCGUGCCAACGGCAGUGCUGGGUAGCUAUGAACGGACAGGAUAAACGCUGAAGGCAUCUAAGCGUGAAGCCCCCCUCAAAACAAGGUAUCCCUGAAGAGCCGUGGAAGACCACCACGUCGAUAGGCCGGAGAUGUACGCGCAGCAAUGCGUUCAGUUGACCGGUACUAAUGGCCCGAGGGAAAUAUGGC